rnacentral:rRNA from 1 species
GAACUGAAGAGUUUGAUCAUGGCUCAGAUUGAACGCUGGCGGCAGGCCUAACACAUGCAAGUCGAGCGGAUGAAGGGAGCUUGCUCCUGGAUUCAGCGGCGGACGGGUGAGUAAUGCCUAGGAAUCUGCCUGGUAGUGGGGGAUAACGUCCGGAAACGGGCGCUAAUACCGCAUACGUCCUGAGGGAGAAAGUGGGGGAUCUUCGGACCUCACGCUAUCAGAUGAGCCUAGGUCGGAUUAGCUAGUUGGUGGGGUAAAGGCCUACCAAGGCGACGAUCCGUAACUGGUCUGAGAGGAUGAUCAGUCACACUGGAACUGAGACACGGUCCAGACUCCUACGGGAGGCAGCAGUGGGGAAUAUUGGACAAUGGGCGAAAGCCUGAUCCAGCCAUGCCGCGUGUGUGAAGAAGGUCUUCGGAUUGUAAAGCACUUUAAGUUGGGAGGAAGGGCAGUAAGUUAAUACCUUGCUGUUUUGACGUUACCAACAGAAUAAGCACCGGCUAACUUCGUGCCAGCAGCCGCGGUAAUACGAAGGGUGCAAGCGUUAAUCGGAAUUACUGGGCGUAAAGCGCGCGUAGGUGGUUCAGCAAGUUGGAUGUGAAAUCCCCGGGCUCAACCUGGGAACUGCAUCCAAAACUACUGAGCUAGAGUACGGUAGAGGGUGGUGGAAUUUCCUGUGUAGCGGUGAAAUGCGUAGAUAUAGGAAGGAACACCAGUGGCGAAGGCGACCACCUGGACUGAUACUGACACUGAGGUGCGAAAGCGUGGGGAGCAAACAGGAUUAGAUACCCUGGUAGUCCACGCCGUAAACGAUGUCGACUAGCCGUUGGGAUCCUUGAGAUCUUAGUGGCGCAGCUAACGCGAUAAG